rnacentral:rRNA from 1 species
CCUACGGGAGGCAGCAGUGAGGAAUAUUGGUCAAUGGGCGAGAGCCUGAACCAGCCAAGUCGCGUGAGGGAUGACGGUCCUAUGGAUUGUAAACCUCUUUUGUCGGGGAACAAAUGCGUCCACGUGUCUACUGAUGAGUGUACCCGAAGAAAAAGCAUCGGCAAACUCCGUGCCCGCAGCCGCGGUAAUACGGAGUAUGCGAGCGUUAUCCGGAUUUAUUGGGUUUAAAGGGUGCGUAGGCGGACAGUCAAGUCAGCGGUAAAAAUGCGGUGCUAAACGCCGUACAGCCGUUGAAACUGGCAGUCUUGAGUGGGCGAGAAGUAUGCGGAAGGCGUGGUGUAGCGGUGAAAUGCAUAGAUAGCAGGCAGAACUCCGAUUGCGAAGGCAGCAUACCGGAGCCCUAAUGACGCUGAGGCACGAAAGCGUGGGUAUCGAACAGGAUUAGAUACCCGUGUAGUC